rnacentral:rRNA from 1 species
GACGAACGCUGGCGGCGUGCUUAACACAUGCAAGUCGAACGGAAAGGCCCUGCUUUUGUGGGGUGCUCGAGUGGCGAACGGGUGAGUAACACGUGAGUAACCUGCCCUUUACUUUGGGAUAACUUCAGGAAACUGGGGCUAAUACCGGAUAGGAUCUCCUGCUGCAUGGUGGGGGUUGGAAAGUUUCGGCGGUUGGGGAUGGACUCGCGGCUUAUCAGCUUGUUGGUUGGGUAGUGGCUUACCAAGGCUUUGACGGGUAGCCGUCAUGAGAGGGUGACCGGCAAAAUUGGGACUGAGAUACGGACCAGACUACUACGGGAGGCAGCAGUGGGGAAUAGUGCACAAUGGGAGGAAGCCUGAUGCAGCAAAGCCGCGUGCGGGAUGACGGCCUUCGGGUUGUAAACCGAUUUAGCAUGUGAAGAAGAGUGAGUGACGGUAAUGGGUAAAGAAGCACCGGCUAACUACGUG